rnacentral:rRNA from 1 species
UACGUAGGCAGCGAGCGUUGUUCGGAGUUACUGGGCGUAAAGGGUGUGUAGGCGGUUGUUUAAGUUUGGUGUGAAAUCUCCCGGCUCAACUGGGAGGGUGCGCCGAAUACUGAAUGACUUGGAGUGCGGGAGAGGAAAGUGGAAUUCCUGGUGUAGCGGUGAAAUGCGUAGAUAUCAGGAGGAACACCGGUGGUGUAGACGGCUCACUGGACCAUAACUGACGCUGAGACACGAAAGCGUGGGUAGCAAACAGG